rnacentral:rRNA from 1 species
GCCUUUACUGACGCUAAAGCUCGAAGGUGCGGGUAUCGAACAGGAUUAGAUACCCUGGUAGUCCGCACGGUAAACGAUGGAUGCCCGCUGUUUGCGAUAUACUGUGAGCGGCCAAGAGAAAUCGUUAAGCAUCCCACCUGGGGAGUACGCCGGCAACGGUGAAACUCAAAGGAAUUGACGGGGGCCCGCACAAGCGGAGGAACAUGUGGUUUAAUUCGAUGAUACGCGAGGAACCUUACCCGGGCUUGAACUGCAGCGGAAGGAUACAGAGAUGUUGACGCCCUUCGGGGCCGCUGUGGAGGUGCUGCAUGGUUGUCGUCAGCUCGUGCCGUGAGGUGUCGGCUUAAGUGCCAUAACGAGCGCAACCCUUUUCAUUAGUUGCCAUCAGGUCAUGCUGGGCACUCUGAUGAUACUGCCACCGUAAGGUGUGAGGAAGGUGGGGAUGACGUCAAAUCAGCACGGCCCUUACGUCCGGGGCUACACACGUGUUACAAUGGGUGGUACAGAGAGUCGGUCGUCUGCAAAUGCGAUCCAAUCCUUAAAGCCAUCCUCAGUUCGGAUUGGGGUCUGCAACCCGACCCCAUGAAGCUGGAUUCGCUAG